CCUACGGGAGGCAGCAGUGGGGAAUAUUGCACAAUGGGGGAAACCCUGAUGCAGCGACGCCGCGUGAGUGAAGAAGUAUUUCGGUAUGUAAAGCUCUAUCAGCAGGGAAGAAGAAAGACGGUACCUGACUAAGAAGCCCCGGCUAACUACGUGCCAGCAGCCGCGGUAAGACGUAGGGGGCAAGCGUUAUCCGGAUUUACUGGGUGUAAAGGGAGCGUAGACGGCUGUGCAAGGCUGAAGUGAAAGCCCAGGGCUCAACCCUGGGACUGCUUUGGAAACUGUGGAGCUAGAGUGCUGGAGAGGUAAGUGGAAUUCCUAGUGUAGCGGUGAAAUGCGUAGAUAUUAGGAGGAACACCAGUGGCGAAGGCGGCUUACCGGACAGUAACUGACGUUGAGGCUCGAAAGCGUGGGGAGCAAACAGGAUUAGAUACCCGAGUAGUC
rnacentral:rRNA from 1 species